CCCUUAGAUGUUCUGGGCCGCACGCGCGCUACACUGACGAAUGCAACGAGCUUAUAACCUUGGCCGAAAGGUCUGGGUAAUCUCCAAAUUUCGUCGUGAUGGGGAUAGAUUAUUGCAAUUAUUAAUCUUCAACGAGGAAUGCCUAGUAAGCGCAAGUCAUCAGCUUGCGUUGAUUACGUCCCUGCCCUUUGUACACACCGCCCGUCGCUCCUACCGAUUGAAUGGUCCGGUGAAGCGUUCGGACCGUGGCCUUUGGACGGUUCGCCGUCUGUUGGCUGCGGGAAGUUCGUUAAACCUUAUCAUUUAGAGGAAGGAGAAGUCGNAACA
rnacentral:rRNA from 1 species